AUGGAAAAUUUAUUUAUAUACGUUAACAUUGAAGUUGGUCAGUCGUGUCCGACUCUUUGCAACCCCAUGGACUGUAGCCUACCAGGCUCCUCCGUGCAUGGAAUUUUCCAGGCAAGAGUACUGGAGUGGGUUGCCAUUUUCUUCUCCAGGAGAUCUUCCCGACCCAGGGAUCGAACCCGGGUCUCCUGCAUUGAAGGGAGACCGUCUGAGCCACCAGGUAAGUCUAAUAUGUUUUAAUACCUAGGAAGGUGAGACCCUC
rnacentral:lncRNA from 1 species